UUUUUUGAGAAUUUGAUCCUGGUUCAGGACGAACGCUGGCGGCGUGCCUUAAGCAUGCAAGUCGAACGGGAAAGGCCGCAAGGCCAAUCCAGUGGCAGACGGGUGAGUAAUAGGUAGGAAUCUACCUCUUGAUGGGGAAUAGCUGGCCGAAAGGCCAAUUAAUACCGCAUAACAUUGUAAGAUAAAAGACCGUAACUGGUCGUCGAGAGAGGAGCCUGCUUACCAUCAGCUAGUUGGUGAGGUAAAAGCCCACCAAGGCUACGACGGUUAGGGGAUGUGAGAGCAUGAUCCCCCACAAGGUUACUGAGACACGGAACCUACACCUACGGGUGGCAGCAACUGGGAAUAUUGCGCAAUGGGCGAAAGCCUGACGCAGCGACGCCGCGUGCGGGAUGAAGGCCUUCGGGUCGUAAACCGCUGUGGAGAGGGAAGAAUUUUGACGGUACCUCUCUAGAAAGCAUCUGCUAACUACGUGCCAGAAGCCUCGGUAAUACGUAGGAUGCAAGCGUUGUCCGGAUUUACUGGGCGUAAAGAGUAUCGUAGGCGGUAAUUUAAGUGGCGGGUUAAAGACCACGGCUCAACCGGGGGAAUGCUCGUCAAACUGAAUUACUAGAGUUAGUUUGGGGAUAUUGGAAUUCUUGGUGGAGGGGUGAAAUCCGUUGAUAUCAAGAAGAACGCCAUUGGUGAAGACAAAUAUCUAAAACUCGACUGACGCUGAUGAACGAAAGCUAGGGGAGCGAACCGGAUUAGAGACCCGGGUAGUCCUAGCCGUAAACUUUGGAUACUAGCUGGUUGAAUGUAUUUUUGACUGGCGAAGCUAACGCAUUAAGUAUCCCGCCUGGGGAGUACGACCGCAAGGUUAAAACUCAAAGGAAUUGACGGGGAAACGCACAACCGGCGUCCCAUGUGGUUUAAUUCGAGACGAAACGAAGAACCUUACCUAGAUUUGACAUCCCGAUCGUAUCUUCUGGAAACAGAGGAGUCAGUUCGGCUGGAUCGGUGACAGCUGCUGCAUGGUUGUCGUCAGUUCGUGUCGUGAGGCGUCCAUUUAAGUAUGGUAACGAACGCAACCCCUGCUGUAUGUUGUAUUUCAUACGGGACUGCCUUGGUUUAACCAGGGAGGAAGGAGGGGACGACGUCAAAUCAGCAUGGUGCUUAUAUCUAGGGCUACACACAUGGGGUAAUGGGAAACACAACGGGUCGCGAAAGAGCAAUCUGGAGCUAAUCCUAAUAAAAUUUCCCUCAGUUCGGAUCGUGGGCUGCAACUCGCCCGCGUGAAGGGGAGUCGGUAGUAAUCGCAGGUCAGCUAUACUGCGGUGAAUACGUUCUCGUUUCUUGUACACACCGCCCGUCAAGUCAACAAAGUCAGCAGUGCCCGAAGUGGAUUCCCCCAACCGCAAGGAGGGGGGCCCCUAAGGUAAGGUUGGCGAUGGGGGCUAAGUCGUAACAAGGUAGCCGUUCUGGAAGGAGCGGCUGGAUCACCUCCUUU
rfam:Candidatus Collierbacteria bacterium RIFOXYB1_FTLL_49_13 rifoxyb1_full_scaffold_3239, whole genome shotgun sequence.